rnacentral:lncRNA from 1 species
AAUUGAAAUAUCUUUUUCUAGAUUAGCCAGUUUUCUUUGUGAAUAGAAAGCCGUCUACUAAAAUUUACAUGUUACAAAAAUAAAAAAGUUUGAACUGAGUUGGUCACCAAAAUUUACACAUAAUUUGAUGGGCUAACAUGGUUUCUAACAUAUAAUUGCAAAUGAACAAAAAAGUUGAAAAGAAAAAACCCUAGAUCAACUGUACGGCUUACCUUGAUGUUAAUUAAAACAAGGAAAUGGCAGAUUUGGUGAUCGGCAUGUGUUGCGGUGUCGUCGUGCGAAGACCGCAUGGAACAUGCGAUGGCAAGUCAUCAAUUCCCGGCGGCGAGCAGGCGACCAUGCGAUGCCGUGACUAGGUGAGCGGCGAGGUCUGGGCGUCCGUCGUCUCGUGCGUUUGUGAAACAGGCCGCGUGAUCGACCAGGGUUGAGUAAUCGUAACUGCUAUUCUCUCAAGCCUGGCUAGCAAUUUCUGGCGGGCUCGGGUAGCUAAUUUGUCAAACCUGG